CCUACGGGAGGCAGCAGUGGGGAAUUUUGGACAAUGGGCGCAAGCCUGAUCCAGCAAUGCCGCGUGAGUGAAGAAGGCCUUCGGGUUGUAAAGCUCUUUUGUCAGGGAAGAAACGGUGAGCUCUAAUACAGUUUGCUAAUGACGGUACCUGAAGAAUAAGCACCGGCUAACUACGUGCCAGCAGCCGCGGUAAUACGUAGGGUGCAAGCGUUAAUCGGAAUUACUGGGCGUAAAGCGUGCGCAGGCGGUUUUGUAAGUCUGUCGUGAAAUCCCCGGGCUCAACCUGGGAAUGGCGAUGGAGACUGCAAGGCUAGAGUUUGGCAGAGGGGGGUAGAAUUCCACGUGUAGCAGUGAAAUGCGUAGAUAUGUGGAGGAACACCGAUGGCGAAGGCAGCCCCCUGGGUCAAAACUGACGCUCAUGCACGAAAGCGUGGGGAGCAAACAGGAUUAGAUACCCUGGUAGUCCACGCCCUAAACGAUGUCUACUAGUUGUCGGGUCUUAAUUGACUUGGUAACGCAGCUAACGCGUGAGUAGACCGCCUGGGGAGUACGGUGCAAGAUUAAAACUCAAAGGAAUUGACGGCGNGAGAGAGCGACGACGACGACGAGGGAGGAGG
rnacentral:rRNA from 1 species